CGAAGGAUUCGAGCGUUAUCCGGAUUUAUUGGGUUUAAAGGGUGCGUAGGUGGACUAAUAAGUCAGUGGUGAAAGCCCGCAGCUUAACUGCGGAACUGCCAUUGAUACUGUUAGUCUUGAGAACAGUUGAGGUGGGCGGAAUGUGUCAUGUAGCGGUGAAAUGCUUAGAUAUGACACAGAACACCGAUUGCGAAGGCAGCUCACUAAGCUGUAACUGACACUGAGGCACGAAAGCGUGGGGAGCAAACAGGAUUAGAUACCCUGGUAGUCCACGCCCUAAACGAUGAUUACUCGAUGUUGGCGAUACACUGUCAGCGUCUAAGCGAAAGCAUUAAGUAAUCCACCUGGGGAGUACGACCGCAAGGUUG
rnacentral:rRNA from 1 species